rnacentral:misc_RNA from 1 species
AAUCAUAAAUUGUUUGCUUUUGAUAAGAAUCGUUUCUUUGUUCUGUUUUUGGAUUAUUUUUUGUUUGUAUAUCUUUCUUCUUUGUUUUGUGUAACUUCUUUGCAUAUAGAGGAGUUCAAUCAGAAAAAGAACAAGUUUUGGGUUUUAAAGGUAGGCUUUUAUUUCAAUAGAUUUUUGGCACAGAAAGGCAACUAUUGCUCCUUAGAAUAUGUUCCUGAUCAAAUUUUAACCGGGUCCUCAGCAUAAUAGUUCUUUUAAUUUCAAAAAACUUCUGGCUAGUAAAUUGAUUCUCUCUCUCUCUGUCUCUCUGGUGGGCUAAUUACCAAAAGAAAAUCUAAAGCUACACUUGCCGUUCUUCAAUUUGUGUGGCUGUCAAAGGCCAGAAAGUUGGUAACAAUUACAGCCGCUUUCUAGUUUCUCAAUAUAUGAUGUAGUGUACUUGUAUGGAUUAAAUCAAUAAUUAGUUGACUAGAACAGAACUAAAGCUAACCAGGAUUUUAAAAAAUAAUUUAAAUUUUAU